rnacentral:tRNA from 2 species
GGAGAGAUGACCGAGUGGUCGAAGGUGCACGACUGGAAAUCGUGUGUAGGGUAACCCCCUACCGUGGGUUCGAAUCCCACUCUCUCCGCCA